UCAGAAUUCUAAACGAAGUUAAGCAACGUAGAGCCUGGCCAGUACCUAGAUGGGUGACCGCUUGGGAAUACCAGGUGCUGUAA